rnacentral:ncRNA from 2 species
GAUAUGAUUAUGGGGUGCUGAUGCAGACGGACAAUCCGACUGCAGAGGCUGAGAUUAUACCCAUAUAACCUGAUCCGGGUAAUGCCGGCGGAGGGAGUCGCUUUUCCUAUACG